rnacentral:rRNA from 1 species
AAGUAAUACAUCGGAAACGUGCCCCGAUUCGUGGGGAUAACAAGGCGAAAGCUUUGCUAAUACCGCAUACGAUCUACGGAUGAAAGCGGGGGAUCUUCGGACCUCGCGCGGACGGGAGCGGCCGAUGGCAGAUUAGGUAGUUGGUGGGAUAAAAGCUUACCAAGCCGACGAUCUGUAGCUGGUCUGAGAGGAUGAUCAGCCACACUGGGACUGAGACACGGCCCAGACUCCUACGGGAGGCAGCAGUGGGGAAUUUUGGACAAUGGGCGAAAGCCUGAUCCAGCCAUGCCGCGUGCAGGAUGAAGGCCUUCGGGUUGUAAACUGCUUUUGUACGGAACGAAAAGCCUCUUUCUAAUAAAUA